GAGGUUAUAGCUCAGUGGUAGAGCUCAUGCUUAGCAUGCAUGAGGUCCUGGGUUCAAUCCCCAGUACCACCA
rnacentral:tRNA from 1 species